CCCCAGCGCCACAAGUGGUCAUCGCGAUUAUUGGGCCCAAAGCGUUCGUAGCCUGUUUAGUACAUCUCUUGUGAAAUUGUUCGGCUUAACCGGACAGCGUGCAGGAGACACGGCUAGACUCGAGACCGGGAGGCGUGCGAAGUAUGUCGUGGGGACUGGUAAAAUGGGAUAAUCCACGAUAGACUACCGAUGGCGAAGGCAUCGCACGAGAACGGAUCUGACGGUGAGGAACGAAAGCCAGGGGAGCGAACCGG
rnacentral:rRNA from 1 species